GAGGAUGGAGGCGGGGUAGGGGGUUAGGGCGCUCCAAGGACGUGGCCCACGGUGGCCCCUGGCACGUGCCCCACAGCCCCGCGCAACGGCUUUACAACUGUCUAGGUACUCCAGGAGACGCCAUGCUGGGCGCCAUGCUGCACACACUGCUGCUGCUGCUGCUGGCCGAGCUGGGGGCCUUGCUGGCAUCAGGACCCGAGUCUCAAAGUUCAUUUCUAGAAAUCAUAUUUCCAGAGAAAAUUGAAGAUAAAACACACUCAGAAGAACAGAUAUCCUAUAUUAUUCCAAUAAACAAGAAGCAGUACACUGUGCACCUCCAGAAAAGAUAUUUUUUAACGAAUCGUUUUAUGGUUUAUAUGUAUAAUCAAGGAUCUACAAGUUUUCAUUCUCCAAACAUUCCGGCUCAGUGCUAUUAUCAAGGACACAUCAAAGGCUACCCGAACUCAGUCGCCACCCUCAGCACAUGCUCUGGACUGAGAGGGUUCCUGCAGUUUGAGAAUGUGUCCUACGGAAUUGAGCCUCUGCAAUCUGCAUUUACAUCUCAACACAUUGUUUAUAAGCUAGGGAACAAAGAGAAGGAGUUGAUAUUUAACAAAAACAGCAGAAACAUAGAGAUGCCUACAAACUAUGGCAUUUUAAUCAACAAAAAGCCAAAAUCACCUUUUAAAAACUUGUUUCCCCUCUAUCUAGAGAUGAGUAUUGUGGUGGACAAAGCGCUGUAUGAUUACUUGGGCUCUGACAGCAAUAUUGUAACAAAUAAAAUCAUUGAAAUUAUCAGUCUUAUAAAUUCAGUGUUUGCCCAACUCAAGGUUACUAUCGUGUUGUCCUCAUUGGAGUUGUGGUCAGAUAAGAAUAAGAUUCCUACAGUUGGUGAAGCAGAUGAAUUAUUGCAUAAAUUUCUAGAAUGGAAGCAGGCCUACCUUACCCUAAGACCUCAUGAUGUUGCAUAUCUAUUCAUUUAUAACGAGUACCCAAAUUACAUGGGAGCAACGUAUCCUGGGAAGAUGUGUACUGCCCACUACUCUGCAGGAAUCACAAUGUACCCCAAGGAUAUGACCUUGGAGGCCUUUUCGGUUAUUCUCACCCAAAUGCUGGGGCUCAGUCUGGGGAUAUCGUAUGAUGAGCCUGAGAAAUGCUACUGCUCGGAAUCCAUCUGCAUCAUGAAUCCCAGGGCGAUGCAAUAUGGAGGUGUGAAGUCAUUUAGCAAUUGCAGUUUGAAUGACUUUGAACAUUUUAAAUCGAACGAGGGUGCCAAAUGUCUGCAGAAUAAGCCACAGAUGCAAAGGACUGCAGCAGCGGUCUGCGGAAAUGGCAAGGUGGAGGGUGAUGAAAUUUGUGACUGUGGCUCUGAAGCAGAAUGUGGGCCUGAUAGCUGUUGUGAACCUAACAGAUGUGUUCUGAAAGCAGGAAGAGCUUGUGACAGUAAGUCUCCCUCAUCAACAUGCUGCAAAAAUUGUCAAUUUUUACCAGAAAAACAUCAAUGUAGGCCGGAAAAGCAUCUAUACUGUGACAUUCCUGAAGUCUGCAAUGGGAGCUCAGGAAAUUGUCCACCUGAUGUAACUAUAAACAAUGGGCAUGUUUGCAAAGAAAGCGGGACUAUCUGUUAUAAUGGAGACUGUCCGGACCUGGACAGGGUGUGCGAGUCAAUAUAUGGAGCAGGUUCAGUGAAUGCUCCAUUUGCCUGCUAUGAAGAAAUCCAGGGCCAAAAUGAUAGGUUUGGCAACUGUGGCAAAGACAACCGAAACAGAUAUGUGUUCUGUGGAUGGAGGAAUCUCAUAUGUGGGAGAUUGAUUUGUACGUACCCUACCCGAAUGCCUUACAACCCACCCAAUAACAGUACAGCUUCUGUGAUCUAUGCUUUUGUGCGAGACAAAGUGUGUAUAACUGUGGACUUUGGAUCGAGUGUCAAAGAAGAUCCACUCAGGGUUGCUAAUGGUGCUACAUGUGAUCUUGAUAGGAUCUGCUUAAAUGGCGUGUGCGUAGAAUCGAGAUUUCUUAGGGAUCAAUCAAAAACGUGUUCAUCCAAGUGCCACGGGAACGGAGUGUGCAAUUCUCAUGGUGUCUGCCACUGCAAUGCCGGCUACUCACCUCCCAACUGUCAAUAUCCUACGACAAAAAGGUCAGCAUCGCUGUGGUCUGGCAAGCACGAUCUGCCCAUGGAAAGAGCAUCUAAGAACCAAGAAAAGAAGUGGCUUUUAAGUUUGUACAUUGUCUUAAUUAUCCUCGCUUCAGUGUUCCUCAUAGGCACAGGGUGGAAAGGCUUGAAACAGUGCGGUUCCAAGGAAGAGGAGUCCAUGAGUAGCGAAAGCAAAUCAGAAGACAGCACUUACACGUAUGUCAGCAGGUGAGUUCAUUAAAAGACGGUGUGAAGAGACAUGUUGAAAAUGAACAUCAUAACUUUCAGCCGAUCAACUUCUGAGACAAGCAGUAUGACAUCUACGAGCAGUUAAUUGCUACCCCUUCAUCAUCAGCAGCAGCAGCAACAGGAGGAAGAGGAAGAGGAAGAAGGGGAGGAGGAGGAGGAGAAGGAAGAUGGCACCCAGGGGCUCACUGAGAAAUGAAGAGUCCACGUUCUUCCCUUGGUCACAGCUAAAAGGAGCCAAUAAACCAAAAGUGGACCAAU